rnacentral:rRNA from 1 species
CAGUAGCCGCGGUAAUACGUAGGUGGCAAGCGUUGUCCGGAAUUAUUGGGCGUAAAGCGCGCGCAGGCGGUUUUUUAAGUCUGAUGUGAAAGCCCACGGCUCAACCGUGGAGGGUCAUUGGAAACUGGAAAACUUGAGUGCAGAAGAGGAAAGUGGAAUUUCACGUGUAGCGGUGAAAUGCGCAGAGAUAUGGAGGAACACCAGUGGCGAAGGCGACUUUCUGGUCUGUAACUGACGCUGAUGUGCGAAAGCGUGGGGAUCAAACAGGAUUAGAGACCCCGGUAGUCCCUGUCUCUUAUAC